rnacentral:misc_RNA from 1 species
GUGGAGAUUAUCUGGGAUCAUCAAUCAUUGAUCGGGAGAAAUUGGGCAUCGAAUCUGUUUCAUCAUCAUCUCCGACAAAUAUUUCUUCAUUGGAGGCGCUAUUAUAAUGGGUCAUUACAAAAUUCGAUGAAACGUCUGUUGUGCUAUCCUCGUGUGGUUCUCUGGGCACUGGAGUUUGUUGUAGCUGAAGUGCAUAUUCCAAGUCCCAGCACACAUCAAGCAUUGUAGGCCUGCCGGCUCCUUCUACCUUCAAGCACUUCUCAGUUAUUUCUCCAAACUUUCUCAGCGAGUUAGGAUUAAUCUGCCCAGCCAAUGAAGAAUCAAUAAUUUUUUCUAGUUGCCCUUUCUUUUGCCAGAACAUUCCCCAUUCAGCCAAGUUUAUUUCCUCCCUCCUAGAGGAAUUCACAAUAGGCGGUCGAGCACAAAGCACUUCAAGAAGCACCACUCCAAAAGAGUAUACAUCAGACUUCUCUGUUAACCGAAGAGUUCUAACAUAUUCAGGAUCAAGAUAACCGAAGCUACCUAUCAGACUCAUUCUGUAUUGGUUUGGAUCUGGAGGACCUGAUUGCGAAAGACCGAAAUCAGCAACUUUUGCCACAUAAUGUUC